rnacentral:rRNA from 1 species
GACAGAGGGUGCAAACGUUGCUCGGAAUCACUGGGCGUAAAGCGCACGUAGGCGGCUUCUUAAGUCAGGGGUGAAAUCCUGGAGCUCAACUCCAGAACUGCCUUUGAUACUGGGAGGCUCGAGUCCGGGAGAGGUGAGUGGAACUGCGAGUGUAGAGGUGAAAUUCGUAGAUAUUCGCAAGAACACCAGUGGCGAAGGCGGCUCACUGGCCCGGUACGUGACGCUGAGGUGCGAAAGCGUGGGGAGCAAACAGG